rnacentral:rRNA from 1 species
AGCAGCCGCGGUAAUUCCAGCUCCAAUAGCGUAUAUUAAAGUUGUUGCAGUUAAAAAGCUCGUAGUUGAACUUUGGAGUUUACCCAUUGGUCAGGCUUAAUUGUCUGUACUGGUGAGAUAAAUCUCUACCUUCUGAGGAACUUUCAUGCCAUUUAUUUGGUGUGAUUGGAAAUCAGGACUAUUACAAAAAAUUAGAGUGUUUAAAGCAGGCUAACGUCUGAAUAUAUUAGCAUGGAAUAAUGAAAUAGGACGGCUUGGUUCUAUUUCGUUAGUUUCUAGGAUCACCGUAAUGAUUAAUAGGGAUAGUUGGAGGCAUUAGUAUUCAAUUGUCAGAGGUGAAAUUCUUGGAUUUAUUGAAGACUAACUACUGCGAAAGCAUUUGCCAAGGAUGUUUU